GGCCUGGAGCGGGAGCCGGACCUUCACAGUGGAGCCCAGGUGGAGGCUGAGAGCCUGCGGGUCCCAAGCGGCGGCAGCGGGAGGUGCUCUGGAGAAGGACGAGGCCUCUCAGGCAGCAGCGCGGGACACCCGCCUGGCAGGCCCCGGGGAAGGGAUGUCAGUGGCAGCAUCUAUGCCCCGUGGGGAUGGCAGCAGCAGCAAAGGCGGGAACGCGGACAGCGAUGCAGACGCUCCGGGCGGAUAUAAAGAGACGGCACUGCAGCUGCACGAACCAAAGCCAGGUCUCGGGCCCCUUGGCCUCGGCCCCCCGAGGAUGGAAGCGGCCAGGACAAGCCGAAGCCCCCUGGCUUCACCCAGGGAGCUGCCCAGGAGGGCUGGAGCUGCUGGUGACCGGGGCGCUGGGGACGGCGGGUCCCAGCCACCCCAGCUCUGGCCGCAGGCCCCUCGGGCGGAGGCGGGGGAGGGGAGCCCAGGUGGCCGCAGAGGGUCCGGCUCCUCCCGACCUUCUGGGACAAAGCUGGCGAGUGGAGGCGUGGACCCAGCGGUCGAGACAGUGACCAGAGGGCAUGGCACAGCCACCCAGAAGCACAGGGGUACACUUAAAGCUCUGCUCCGACGAAACCAUUUAGUUUCCCUUGAAGAAGUGACUGAGAAAACACAACUCUGGAAAAACAAGGCUGAGUGUUGUGUAGCACGACCGGCCCUCCAGGACGCGGGGGUCCAGCAGCACCUGCGCCCCUCCCCCCAGUAA
ensembl:lncRNA